rnacentral:rRNA from 1 species
UACGUAGGGUGCAGGCGUUAAUCGGAAUUACUGGGCGUAAAGCGUGCGCAGGCGGUUUCUUAAGUCAGAUGUGAAAGCCCCGGGCUUAACCUGGGAACUGCGUUUGAAACUGGGAGACUUGAGUGUGGCAGAGGGGGGUGGAAUUCCACGUGUAGCAGUGAAAUGCGUAGAUAUGUGGAGGAACACCGAUGGCGAAGGCAGCCCCCUGGGAUAACACUGACGCUCAGGCACGAAAGCGUGGGGAGCAAACAGG